UGAGGCUGCCGGGAAGGGAUGAUGUGGUUGGUGGAGUGCACAGGCAGGGACCUCACUGGACUUUCCUAUCUGCUCUGCAUGGACAGGCAGCCCAGAAGGCAGCAGGGACAUGCCACUCCCUCUUUCCCCAGGGAAGCUGGGGACAGACGGGUCCCAGGCACUCCAUCCUCUGCAGCAAGUCAGGUUGUGAUUUACUGGGCAUUGGUGAAUAAAAUGGAGAGGCUUCUGGGGAGAAAUUCCUGGCUCCCACGUGGACUGGCAGAGCUCAACAGGCAGCCACGUGGCUGAGUGUCCAGCAAACAUCACAUAAGGCUUUGGGUCCUGUAGGUGAGGCUGCCCUGAGCAGCAAGCUCAGUCCAGAAGAGCAGUUCCUCUCCAGGAUCCAUUUCCUGCGCACUUUUAUGUCCAGUGUAGCUGGAGCAGAGCUCGCUGGAAUUCCACAGGCAACUAAGAACGGAGAGGGAUGCAUGCCAGCCAGGGAUCCAUCGUCUUCCCCAUCAGCACGCCCCAUGGCCUCCGUCUGCACAGUGUCCCUCUGCACAACUUGUCAGUGCGUUAUCACGACUCUUAUUUGGCCCUGGCCCGUCCCACUGUCCUGGCUUGUUCCAAGUGCUUCCUUCUCCAGCUGUGAUUCUGGCUGCAGAGCUGUCUGCUCCCCACGUUGGGCAACUCCAGCCAAGAUUCCUACACCCAAAUGUGACUGUGUUGCUCACAAAGAAGCCUCAGCUUUGUGUGCACCCAGCCGUGUGCACAGCUCGUCCCAACCCCAGUGGGCGCUGCCUGCCUCUCCCACUUCCAGUCCUUGCCAUGAUGAGCAGAUGACCCCCGCCCUCCAGGGUCAGUGUUUGGCUGCUCUUGUGCCUGCCCACCUGCCUCCCUGUGCCUGGGCCUGUCAUGUGCCUGCACACAGGAGGGUCUCGUGGCGUUUGCCCUACACGGAUGGGCUGUCCUAGGAGCCGCUGGAGAGUCACCUUGGUGGGGAUGCCAGAAGCCUGGGCACUAGGUUCCCCCCGGCCAGCCUUCAUUCCCACACGGGGUAUUUUUGUCCAUCACGUGGGACAACCUAGGAUUGGGGGAAAAUUCAGUACACUCUGAAGAAGCAUCGGCAUUUUGGAUGGAUGAAUGCUGCUUCAUGCAACUCCAGGUCAAUGGACUAUAUUAUUCAACUCGGGUAUUUAUGAGUGCUCCUGUGUACCAGCCACGUGUGAAAGAAAAACUCCAAGUUACCUGACACCAGGACAAACCAGGUAGAUCACUGCGUCUGGUUCCUCCUCUUUCUGCUAACUCUCCUGGACCACCGUUCUGAUUUCUGGCAGAGUCGGGGGCGAGCUCAUCAGUACCCAGAGCGUCUGGUGUGCAGCCAAAGGCCCCCAUUUUAUCAGUCGGUGUGUUCAGUAUCACACUCAGGACAAGGGCCACCCUAUUACUUCACAUACCUCAAAUACAAAAAGUGCCUGGGAACGUUGAUGAGGUGUUAAAGGAAACCACUGGUGUUGUCAGUCAUGUACACACAGAAAAAAAACAGUCAUUUUUUUUUAUU